AAGAAAGACAGUGGUGGAAACAGACCAUGGCUUUGCAUCCAAAGAAAGGCUGGAGAGUUCAACAAGAGGAUCCGAAGAGAAUAUUUCCUUCCCAAAUGAGCUGGCUGAGAAGGAUGAUCAGAGAAAUGAGGAGAAUGAGGAACUUCAUCAGCAAAUGCCAGUCAGAGUUAAAAAUGAAGACUUGAAAGGAAA